GCUGGGCAUGGUGGCGCAUGCCUGUAAUCCCAGCUACUCAGGAGGCUGAGGCAGGAGAAUCGCUUGAACCUGGGAGGUGGAGGUUGCAGUGAGCUGAGAUCGCACCAUUGCACUCCAGUUGAAGAUCCUGAUUUCUCUAUAUUCUUGUCACUACUUGUUUUUUGUUUUGUUUUGUUUUUUGUUUUUGGAGAUGGAGUCUCGCUCUUGUCCCCCGGGCUGGAGUGCACUGGUGUGAUCUGUGCUUAUUGCAACCUACCUCCACCUCCUGGGUUCAAGCGAUUCUCUUGCCUCAG
rnacentral:SRP_RNA from 1 species